CCGCAAGAAGAGGCGAAGUGCGACGGCCGCCGCGCCCGGAGGUGAAAGGGUUUCGUUGAUUCUUGUAUGGCGUUUGUAGGCGACGAAUCGGGAGAAGUUGAUGGUUUAUUUCAUUGGGACCAAACAGAUGUGGGAGCCCUCCCUCGUUUCUUGCUGAUCAAUUUGGAGGAAAGUAAAGAGAGGAUUAUGGUCUACUUAUUCAUUAAUAAGAGAGUGGGAGAGUGUCUAGCCAACAAACAAUUUGUGAAAUUACAAGUUUCCAGUCAUGUCACUUCCAUGUCAGCGAGGUUGAACGAAUAUACUUGAAAAAGACUUAAACCGAUGACAAAGUAACUUUUGGAAUAAAAGCUCGAUGGCUUGCUCAUAAGGAACUUUUUCCCAGAGCCAUUGUAUUCCAUAUAGAAGAAUGGAGAAUUCAAAGGGAGUCCUCUUGAUGCAAAAUGAGAGGUAUGCCAUCCUACAUCAUUGUACAUAAAAUGUCAUUUAAAGCUUUUUAUGCAAACACAGAAACGGGAAAAGGCAACUGCAUUUAGGAGAGCUGUAUCAUUGUGAUUAUAAUGUCAAUACCUAGAAUCAUCUGUUUUAAUUUAGAUACAUUAUUAGACUUUAGUGGUCUUAUUAGAGGGAGCCAGGGUAUCAAUGCCCGUACUUAAUUUUUGUUUUCUUCUCUUGCGGCAUGUCAUUUGUCACCUCUUUCUUACUGUAAACAGCUAGUAAAUGUUAGUUUAGUAUUUUUGUUUUGCAUUUGUUUGUGAAAUGCUUUGUUGGUAACAUCAUUAGUGAGUUGAAUUUAGCUCGUCUCAUGAGUAGAUUACUGCCAGAAAUGUCUGAUUGUUGUUGGGUGUUUUAGCUGUCUGAAUCUUUAUAUUGUCA